rnacentral:lncRNA from 1 species
ACAUUUGUGUGGAAUGCCUCACCCAGAAGAAACCAAAAUUUGGAAAGGGUUUCCUUCCCAAACCUAAUAAAAAAAAAUUCGAUCUGAUGAACAUGAAUGGGAUAUGAUUCCUCGCGGAAGAACACCUCGGGCACCACUAAAAAAGUAAAGGACCUAACAAACAAACGAGAAUCAUGUGACUCAUAGCAAGAGGAUUAUCCACAAAAAAAAAAAAUGGCAUGGUGGGUACAACUACAUGUGAACCACUAUCAAUAAUGGUCCAUUAUUUCAACCACCGGCCCCUACCACAUGAUUAUCAACUGAAUAAUGGAGUAAGAGAC